ACAAUGUGGUGUGGACAUUUACGGAUGAGGUCCUUCAAUCUUUCCCAUGUUUCAUUAAACAUCUCCUUAUCCAUUUGGGAAAAAUAGGUGAUGGCUUUUCUAAUUUG